UCUUGGCAUACCUGCCAGGCGACUUGAACAAAGUCUGCUAGUAGGCGGCGUUCGUUCUUAUGGAUCUAGGUUGCACAGCCUUUGCCAGAUAAAGCUCUGGUCGCCCCAAAAAGGAGGUUGGACUAAAUUGAAUCUUCUGAUUCCAAUUUUAUGAACUGCAUUAAAAUCUCUCUAGGGUGCCGGAUUACGUCUGUGUUGAAGAAUGACUACUUUAAGCUGAACAAAAAAAUAAGCCAACAAUGGACGCAACUGAUGCCUAGAACUUGAUAGUAUCAAUCCAUCACCCUCUAAAAACUGCUUCCCUUUGGUAUAGGAAGCUUUAUCUCUGACUCCAAAUGAAGUGACGGCAAGAUACCAAGUUUAAAAUUCUCUAACUGUCAACGGCUGUUUUACUAAUUAUCCAGAUUCCAAGGCAAUCAUACAACCGUAAUCAUUCACCUCACGCCUGGAAACAUAAGUCUUGUUCUUUUGAUGAAUAUUUAUAAGACAGUGUAAAGCAGUCUACUUUCUUUUCCCUUCAGGCAAGACAAUUUGGAGUUCAUCAAUAUGUAUUACCAAGGACUUUUAUA